GACGUAGGGCGCGAGCGUUGUCCGGAUUUAUUGGGCGUAAAGAGCUCGUAGGCGGCUCGUUGCGUCGGCUGUGAAAACCCGCAGCUCAACUGUGGGCUUGCAGCCGAUACGGGCGGGCUAGGAUUCGGUAGGGGAGACUGGAAUUCCUGGUGUAGCGGUGAAAUGCGCAGAUAUCAGGAGGAACACCGGUGGCGAAGGCGGGUCUCUGGGCCUUACCUGACGCUGAGGCGCGAAAGCUAGGGGAGCAAACAGG
rnacentral:rRNA from 1 species